AUCAUCUUUCAACUUGAUCAGCAAGAUGUUUCUGCUAUUUAACAAGACUCUCAACACUUCUUUCAUUUUCUUAUUUCCUUCUUCUUCCUCUUUUCUCUUUUCUUUGUCAUUCUGUUCUUCUUCUUUCCUUCAACCCGAGACACGGUGAGAGACGAGAGAGAUCAGGGAGAGGAGAGAUCAAGAGAUUGGGAGAGAAGGAGACAGAGAGAGAGAGAGAGAGAGUCCAAUUGAGAGGGGAAGAACUAGAGAUGUGAGAGCUGAAGAUCGAGAGAGGGGGGAAGAUCGGAGGCCGAUCCUCCAUGGGUCACCAGUGGCCGGAGCAGACGACGCCAACGGAGCCAAAGGACCCGGUCUUCUGGUGGAUUUCCGGUGGAGCCUGAGAAACCCGAUCCUUCGGUGGGUGCCCGGAGGGCACAAUACCAGUACAUGGGUUGCCGGAGGUGUGAUUUCUAGCGAGCCAGUGACUGAUUUCUGGAAAAAGUAGAGGUGCAAUUUACGGCGGCCUGUGAUGCGAUUUUGAUAAUGAACAAGAGACUGCACCAAGAGUAAUAGGGUUAUAGGCCAGUGGUGGGACCAUCAGAUCUCUAGUGAACCUAAUAAAUAACCUGACGCUGAGACAUUUGGCUUCCAGUAACAAACCAAUAAACAUUAAGUGAGGGGACUCGGGUGAACAUGCUAAUCUACACCGUUGGCUUCAUCACGAGAGGAGUGCAAAAAGAUGAGUAAUUAAUACAUUGCAUAUAAAACUGUCAUGUUACUGCUUUACGGUUAUUUGAUAUUCAAUCUAUGACUAUGACUUGCAACCAUAGGCCAUAAAUUGCAUAUACUUGUGACCUUAAGGCUAUAUAUUCAUUGUGUUGCAUUUCAUAAAUAAACCAGCAUUCAUUAUAUUAUUGGAAAUAGUUGACUCACUUAGGUAUUUUCUUUUGUAUUAUUCUUUUCU